UCGACGGUAGAUGAUGAAUUAGGGAUUGGGUUUUGAAGCUCUGGUGGACCAAGAAGAGUAGGAGAAGCCAUCGUUGUAACUUGUCUUGAAACUUUUGCAGGUUGCUUGGCUACUUGAUGUUUCAAGAGUUGUGAGGUUGAAGACGAAGAUGCUGGAAUUUUAUAGUGAUUUGAUUCCUUGAUCACUAAGUUUACGCCUUGCGAACCACGUUUUGAUUUUUUUAAUCGUUGACUGACGAUUAUAUGUAUGUUAGUUUGGCCAUUGUUGCAGGUGAUUGAAUUUUAUAACAGCAACGAAACUGCAGAUGAAGAAACAUAAAGCUAUAAAUAAAUCCCAAAUCUGGUAAAAGGUUUCUCCCUCCCACCUCUUGGAGCUCAUAGCAACCUUCUCUCCUCGGCUUCUCACUUUGCGAGUUCCCCUCUCGGCCUCUCUCUGCUUGGAUUUCCCCCUACUUUCACAGCUUCGGGCUCUGCAGAGGAGGGAGACAAUUUUGAUCAAUACUUGGCGCUAGAAAUCCUCUGAGAAUCAUCUUCUUAUCCACUUUUCUUCUUUCCUUCUUCUUCCACUUUCGUGCGCCACCGUCAGAUUUCAUCUUCCCGUUUUCGGAAAACUAAACUAUUUCAUUUAUAUCUAAUGUAGAAUUAGCUAUAUAUCUGAGAAUACUUGUGUUAUCAUGUAUUAAUUAUAUUAAAUUUAUAUAUCUAUAUUUUAUAAAACUAUUUUAUUAUGUUGAAAGAUAUUUAAUUUAGAUAAUAUAAAAUUUUCAUAAAAAAGUUGAUCUACUUCAAAUAAAAAAUCUCAUUGUGUUUUUAUAGUAUAUACUGUAUAUUUUUUGUAUCUUUUUCAGCAGAAAUAUGGACAUGAGAUGGAGUUCAUCAUAAUAGACCAUAAGAUAGAACGAAAGAGCAGGAAGGUUGUCCAUAUUUUUUUAUGUAGUCAAGUAUCUGCAGCCAACAAGAGUUGGGAAAGGAUUGCAGACUAGCUAAAAUUUGAGAAGCAUGUUGGAGAGUAUACAAACUCUUUGCUAUGGACAUGAGGUGCAGUUCAUCAUAGACCACAAGAUAGAAGGCAAGAGCAAGAAUGUUGUCUAUAUUUUCUAUGUAGUCAAGCAAAAGGGAUUAUCUGCAGCCAACAACAGCUAGGAGAGGGCUACAGACUUGCGGAAAUUUGAGAAGCAUCUUAGAAAACACAAAGACUCUUUUCUCUGAGGGCACCGACUUUUUCUAGUGGCGGUAAUUUGUCAGACCCCUGAUCUUUGAUAGUUACGGUGUAUACCUAGCUAUUCUUAGUAGCUUGCAAGAUAGCAACGUAUUGCAAGCAAUGCUGAGGGUGCAGAGCUCACGGGUAAUGAACAGGCGCAUUGAAGGAUAUUGCAGCAACAGCAUGUUAUGUAUUGUGAGCACUCCGUAAGCAGGAAGUAUGAGCGGGCACGUCUUGAGUUGCUGAGACAAGCAGGCACACUGAGCAAUGGCGGACACUGAAGGGUGUGUAGCAUCCGGUGGUAACAGAUGAGUGUCUCAUGUGUCUGGAACAUGGCCAAAAACGCACAUGAGGAACAAGACCAGCAAUGCGGAGACACUUGUAGCGCACAGCACGCGGAGAGCUGCAUGCAUUUACUAGUUGUCCAAGGUGGGCGCAGGAGUUCAAUGCAUCCCAUAUGACUUGAAUGUCUAUAGAACUCUAGAUUUAGUUAAAGAUAAUAUUUUAUAUGUGAAUCCGUUUAAUAUGAUUUAUCAGAAGUUAAUUUAAUAUAA